ACUUAUAUAGUAUAUUAAUUACAUUUAAUUUCCAAUUAAAAAAUUUAUUAAUUACCUUAAUAAUAUAAGUA
rnacentral:tRNA from 1 species